UACAGAGGUCUCAACCGUUGUUCGGAUUCAUUGGGCGUAAAGGGUGCGUAGGCGGUCGCGCAAGUCGGAUGUGAAAUCUUGGGGCUCAACCCUGAAACUGCAUUCGAUACUGCGUGGCUUGAGUACUGGAGAGGAGACUGGAAUUUACGGUGUAGCAGUGAAAUGCGUAGAUAUCGUAAGGAAGACCAGUGGCGAAGGCGAGUCUCUGGACAGUUACUGACGCUGAGGCACGAAGGCCAGGGGAGCAAACGGGG
rnacentral:rRNA from 1 species